rnacentral:rRNA from 1 species
UACGGGGGGGGCAAGCGUUGUUCGGAAUUACUGGGCGUAAAGGGCUCGUAGGCGGCCAACUAAGUCAGACGUGAAAUCCCCAGGCUCAACCUGGGAACUGCGUCUGAUACUGGAUGGCUUGAAUCCGGGAGAGGGAUGCAGAAUUCCAGGUGUAGCGGUGAAAUGCGUAGAUAUCUGGAGGAACACCGGUGGCGAAGGCGGCAUCCUGGACCAAUUCUGACACUGAGGAGCGAAAGCCAGGGGAGCAAACGGG